rnacentral:rRNA from 1 species
CAGCACCUCAAGUGGUCAGGAUGAUUAUUGGGCCUAAAGCAUCCGUAGCCGGCUCUGUAAGUUUUCGGUUAAAUCUGUACGCUCAACGUACAGGCUGCCGGGAAUACUGCAGAGCUAGGGAGUGGGAGAGGUAGACGGCACUCGGUAGGAAGGGGUAAAAUCCUUUGAUCUAUUGAUGACCACCUGUGGCGAAGGCGGUCUACCAGAACACGUCCGACGGUGAGGGAUGAAAGCUGGGGGAGCAAACCGGAUUAGAUACCCGAGUAGUCC